UUACAGUAUAAAAAUCAUCGUAUCUUGCCUACAAAUUAAAAUAACUAAAUAACAUUCUUAUCUUAGGUUUGAUACAGGCAAAGGCAAAUACACCCCAAUGUUAAAACUGAUAACACAAAAUGAACGAAAGUAUAAAAAUAACGUCAUUUUGUAAAUUGAGCAAUUUCACCGAUGGAGUGUAAGAUAAUAAUAUGCGUAAUAAAUGGUACCUAUAUAUCCUAC